rnacentral:piRNA from 1 species
GCUGAUUUAAUUUUGUGCCUGCUUGAACC